UCGGCCGUUGCUACGCUUUCUUCCUCGUUCUUUCUGCGUGUGGUCUCAGUUCUUUCUCAGUUAAAGCAAAAAAAGAAAACAAGAACUCCUUCAAGAACUCUCUCUCUCUCUCUCUCUCUCUCUCUCUCUAUCUGAACCGAGGCUGAAGCUUGAAACGUGAUCAAAAGAGCAUCUUGACGAGUACCCAAGAGCUCGACCGGUCCGAUGGAGCGUGUUGUGGGCAGCAAGUACAAGCUCGGCCGCAAGAUCGGAAGUGGGUCCUUCGGCGAAAUCUUCCUCGCUACCCACGUGGAUACGUUCGAGAUGGUCGCGAUCAAGAUCGAGAAUAAUCGGACCAAGCAUCCUCAGCUACUUUACGAAGCAAAAUUGUACAACAUUCUUCAAGGCGGGAGUGGUAUUCCUGGCAUUAAAUGGUCCGGCGUAGAUGGAGAGGAUAAUGUACUCGUUCUUGAGCUACUUGGACCAAGUCUUGAAGAUUUAUUCGUAUACUGUGGGAGGAAGUUUUCUUUGAAAACAGUCUUGAUGCUUGCAGAUCAAAUGAUAACAAGGAUAGAGUACGUGCACUCGAAAGGGUUUCUGCACAGAGACAUUAAACCCGAUAACUUUCUGAUGGGUCUGGGUAGAAAAGCAAAUCAGGUUUAUAUUAUUGACUUUGGGCUUGCAAAGAGAUAUCGGGACUCCACAACUAAUCGCCAUAUCCCAUACAGGGAAAACAAAAAUUUAACUGGCACAGCACGUUACGCAAGUUGCAAUACUCAUCUUGGGAUUGAACAAAGCCGAAGAGAUGAUUUGGAGUCACUUGGCUAUGUACUUCUGUAUUUCCUCAGAGGAAGCCUUCCUUGGCAGGGACUGAAAGCAGCUACAAAGAAACAAAAGUAUGAUAAGAUUUGUGAGAAGAAGUUAUCUACUCCUAUUGAGGUUCUUUGCAAAUCUCAUCCCGUAGAGUUUGCUUCAUUUUUCCAUUACUGCCAUUCCUUGACGUUUGAUCAACGACCAGAUUAUGGAUUUUUGAAGCGUCUAUUUCGUGAACUAUUUACUCGUGAAGGAUAUCAAUUUGAUUAUGUGUUUGACUGGACGAUCCUGAAAUACCAACAAGCACAAAAGAGCAAAACUCAGCCUCAAUUUUCGCCAGCUCUUGAAGAGAGCAGUAGACGUGCAAUGCCAAUGAAUGUCGACUACCUUCGAGAUGGCACAAAUGCUGCUCAUGCAAGUGAGAUGGCAGAGCCCGGUGGAUCGAGCAAUACUGCCGGUACUGUCACUUACCCACAACAUCCAUCUGCAAUGGACAAGAAUCUGAGUUCUGACCGUGCUGUCAACAAGAAUAUUGUGAGCAAUGUGAACAUGCCAUCUACUUCAUUUUCUCUAACUGGAGUCGCAAAAAAGAAUAUUCCAAAGUCCCAACUGCCGACAGACAAUGCGAACCCCACUCAUGGCCAUGGCAACAAAAAUAGACCUUCUAGUAGCUGGAUCCCAUCAUUCCAGAGACUUUCGUCUGCAAAAUAGAUGAUGCGAGCGUUUGACUAAGGGAUUGCUUUAGCAAUGUAUGUGUGCACAAAUAUUGAACUUGGUUUGGCCGACGCUCUUGAUGCGCAUCUGUGGAAGCUGCUCCUUAUGCAAGCGCUGCUCUGGAUAACCGUGUUAUGAUGAACGACUUGAAGUCCAAAUGCUGUACAUUUGCUGUUGAGUUGGCCGAUAGCGUUGUUUUCUCUAUAAAAUCCUGGUGGCAUUGUUGGUGUUCAAGGGAUUGAGUUCAUCUUCCAUUGAGAGGAAAUAUAUGAAGCCUGAAGGCACAUGGCCUCCGCAAUUUGCCUCCAGAGUUGCGAUCAUCUGCUAUGAUUUUUACAAAUCGGCAACUGCGGCAUGGCCCGGCACUUACUUAUGGUGGAAAAGGACCGUUCUUUGCCUAAGAUAUGUAAUUGGCCUGAUUGGAAGAUAAUCCUUCAAGAGCUGUUAUCUGACUGCCAUUCUAAAAGGAAUGGGUAAAGUGCCAAAAAAGCAACGCUUCCAAGUAAAGAGCAAGCAAGGUAUGAUAGCAGCGGGAAAAUUGUCUAAAAAGUCUUAAAUUUAUUGUACUUUUGCUAAUUCAAUUUUAAACAUUUCAAUUU